CAAUUCUAUAUAAGGACACCAGGCAUAAUCUGUCCAUUCCUGCCUUCUUCCUGGGCUCUCCAUUUCCAUGGAGGAGUCCAGCAGCAUCAGCUGGAAGUCGUGGCACAGCUCCAGGUAGGUCCCUGAUUUUAACUGGGAAGAGCUGAGGCUCUCCAGGGAAGGCAUCUGGCCUGCAGUCUGGCAUAGCCAGAGGUGCCACAGGGUGUGUGCACUGCUCAGAGCACCCGUGCCACCAGCCACAGGCUGGGCAGGCAGCAUCAGUGGUGCGGAGGCAAACCCUGCUGCUGGGGUUCAGGCAGGGAAAUGUGGCAGCAUGGGGGCUGCUCUACCUCAUUUGUUACUUCCAUAUGUGGCAGGUAAGGGAUAAAACACCAAAAAACAUUAAGGUUGCCUGGCAUUUUGCAUAGUUAGGCUCUGUCUUUGUUGUUUUUAAAUCUUGCAGUUCUAACCAUACAGUGUGCCAUUUUCCAAGCUUGGUGCCUGCUCAGAGUUUUGGAAAAGGUCAGCCAACAAUUCAACUGUUUCUGAAAAGAAAAUAACUAACCAAGCUAAAAAAAAAAUGUGGCAUUUUCUUUGAGCUGCUCUAGCACCCCCAAGCUUUGGAGCAUUCACAUGAAGUCUGUCAGGAGGUGGUCUCCCCAUCUGGGACAUGCCAAGAAAGAAGUCUUUGAGAAUAUGUGGUUUACAAUGAUCAGGAUAAACAUAUUGCAGUUCAUAACUCAUUGCCCCAGAGAAACUGUCUGCAACGACAAUGUCCCAGCUUCUGCACUGGACCUUGCCACUUUCUCUAAACCCUUGAUGAAUGCAGCACUGCUUUCACCUUUCUCAUCACAAUCCCUCACGUGGUACUUAAGCAAGAAGAAAGAAUUCUCAGGAGAAGAUUUGUGCAGCGGUUGAAUACGAUGAAUAAUCAUGCGGUGUUUGUUUCCAGCAAUGAACAUAAAUUCCAUGGUACUUAGAGGAGUGUUUCUUCUGAACCUUAAUUUACAGAGCAAGAGUGGGAUUCAGUUCUCCGGACACAGUUCCCUAGACAUCUUUUAGAGCCGGUGGAGAGAAACAAGCUUUUCUACAUUAUGAUUCAUUGAUCUGUUUCAUUACCUCUUUGGAUGAGAUGAACCUCACCUUAAGAGUGCCUCCUUCUCCCCAAGGACUGGAAAGGGUUUCUAUGAGAGUAGCUCUCUGCUUCACCACUAGAAGCAUUUCUGUUCAUCCGUCUUCCCCUGCUAACAAGUACAGCUGGACCCCUUCAGCUGCAAUCCAACCAACCAGGAUGAUGAGCAGGGGACUGCCUGAAGCUACCAGUGCCGUUUGAGAUCACACCCCUCUCCAGUUCUUAUGCUGUGCCUCUUUUAGGGUUUUACUUUGAAUACAAAGCAUUCUUUUGAAGCCAUCCCGCAGUCAUCUCCAACUAACUAGUGAGCUUUGAUUUGCUUUGUGAAAGUCUGAGUCCAUCACUGGUUCUCCUUCAGAAGGCAGAAGAUGCACUCCAUAAAUGUCCCUAAUGUGUUUCUAUUGCUAAUGUGUCUUCAAUCCACAGGAUCGGGCUAGAGGCAGUUCAAAAUAAUUCCCCAUGAAACUUGCAUAUUAUGGUUGACAAAUUCUCAUAUUCAGCUGUUUUGUUGCAUGACCAUUUGUUUUGGAUUCCACUUCUGGGUAAUUAAGAUACAGAUGCAGAUUUCUAAAUGUGUCCUGCAGUCACCUUCCUCCGCUGAUGGCUCACAGCCAGGAGCUAUUGCUUGGACACAGGUACCACUGCUGCUAGGCUGUGAUCAUCUAUCCUUCUUUACAGCCGGCAUAGCUGACACAGUUCUGUCCUGCCCUCUUUCAUACACAGCUGGGAGACGGCAUGUACCAGAGACUGCAAGCAGCAGGUAGCUUGCAAGCAGACAGGCAUCUU
rnacentral:lncRNA from 1 species